AUCUCGGUAGUUCAAUCGGUAGUACACCAAACUGGAAAUAUGUAGACGUGGGUUCGAUUCCUUCCUAGGGUU
rnacentral:tRNA from 1 species